UACGGGGGGGGCAAGCGUUGUUCGGAAUUACUGGGCGUAAAGGGCUCGUAGGCGGCCAACUAAGUCAGACGUGAAAUCCCUCGGCUUAAUCGGGGAACUGCGUCUGAUACUGGAUGGCUUGAGUUUGGGAGAGGGAUGCGGAAUUCCAGGUGUAGCGGUGAAAUGCGUAGAUAUCUGGAGGAACACCGGUGGCGAAGGCGGCAUCCUGGACCGACACUGACGCUGAGGCGCGAAAGCUAGGGUAGCAAACGGG
rnacentral:rRNA from 1 species